GACAGACUUCUCAAAAUGGGGUUCCAUGCUCAGCUCCUGGGGCUGCUGAUGCUCUGGAUCCCUGGAUCCAUUGGGGAAAUCGUGCUGACGCAGACCCCACUCUCCCUGCCCGUCAGCCCUGGAGAGCCGGCCUCCAUCUCCUGCAGGUCCAGUGAGAGCCUCCUGCACAGUGAUGGAAACACCUAUUUGCAAUGGUUUCUCCAGAAGCCAGGCCAGGCUCCUCGGCUCCUGAUCUAUAAGGUUUCCAACCGUGACUCUGGGGUCCCAGACAGGAUCAGUGGCAGUGGGUCAGGGACAGAUUUCACCCUCAAGAUAAGCAGGGUGCAGGCUGACGAUGCUGGAGUUUAUUACGGCCAGCAAAGUACAAAAUAUCCUACGUUCGGCGCAGGAACCAAGCUGGAAAUCAAACGGGAUGAUGCCAAGCCAUCCGUCUUCCUCUUCCAACCAUCCCCUGACGAGUUACAUACUGGGACUGCCUCUGUUGUGUGCUUGCUGAAUACCUUCUACCCCAAGGAUGUCAGUGUCAAGUGGAAGGUGGACGAUGUUGUCCAGAACAGCGGCAUCCAGAACAGUGAGACGGAGCAGGACAGCAAGGACAACACAUACAGCCUGAGCAGCACCCUGACGCUGUCCAGCACAGACUAUCAGAGUCACAACCGGUACUCCUGUGAGGUCACCCACAAGACCCUGAGCUCCCCACUCGUCAAGAGCUUCAACAGGAAUGAGUGUUAGAGAGAGAGGCCCCCCAGGCCCCACAGCCGGCUCCUCCUCCAGCCUCGGGCCUCUGGCCCUGUCCCCACAAGAGACCGAUCCCCUGCCUCCUCUGGCCCUCCUCCCCCUGUCCCUCCCCUUUGGCUUUAAUCAUGCUAGUAUUUGGGGGAAACGAAUAAAUAAAGUGAAUCUUUGCACCUGUGA